UACGUAGGUGGCAAGCGUUGUCCGGAUUUAUUGGGCGUAAAGCGCGCGCAGGCGGUGAGGUAAGUCCGUCGUGAAAUCUCCCGGCUCAACUGGGAGGGUGCGGGGGAGACUGCCUGACUGGAGGCACUCAGAGGCCGGUGGAAUUCCCGGUGGAGUGGUGAAAUGCGUAGAGAUCGGGAGGAACACCAGUGGCGAAGGCGGCCGGCUGGGGGUGACCUGACGCUGAGGCGCGAAAGCGUGGGGAGCGAACCGG
rnacentral:rRNA from 1 species